GGUGAAAGGAAACAAAAUCUGGUUGAACAUUAACCCCAAUUUUCUUUUCCAAAAGUCUUAGUUGGGAAGAUCUGUUUGUAACACUGUACUUAGAGAUACUGCUGAAGGUCUCCAUACCAGAUGGGCACAUAACAGCCGCGGGCACAGCCUGCCAUGCUUCUCACUCCCAUGGCAGUCUCCAUCCUGCACUGCAGCAGCUAUGGAGUAAUGCAAGCAGAACACACCAAGAGGCUUUGGAAAUUUAUUCCAUCUGUUGUGUUGUGUUUUGGCUGAAGAACAGUCCAAGUCCUAUCACUCAUGGUUACGGGAUUGUGCGCUCUUACGACUCCUGCAACUAAUAGCAGGUUACAACAGUAGGAAUCCUUUCCUGGCCACUUCCCAGUGCUUGCAGCCUUUCCUAGGGACUGCAGCGAUAUGCAGAGCUGCCCUGGCCCGACAGCCUGCUGGCUUGUCUCUGGCAGCAGGACACAGCACAUGUCUACAGGAAGAGAUAACAACAUGGCAGAUGCAUGGUGUGGUCUUCGGUCUUUUGUGGUUCAAUGACUUCCUGCGCCAGAAUCUCUUUCUAUGAGGCUACAUGCUAUCAAUAUAUCCUAGUGGAUUAAACAGUUCUUACAAUCCAUGUUUGAACCCAGCACUUAGGGACCUCUCCCAUGAACACUUCACCUUCAUAGCAGACAUUACAUUAGGGAUCCUGUUGGUGACUCAGCAGCGUCUCAUGCCAAUGAACUAAGUAACAGCAAUGAAUUCAAAGCCAGUUCUAAUGCACCAAAGAAAGAGAAUGGCAGACGUUUGGAUGAGGAGUAAUAGCACUGGACUCAGGCAAAUUUUGUUUGUCUACCCAACAUCACAGCAACGGACUGUCAAGCAUCCAGUGCACAAACCAUGUGAUUAACCUGGACAGCUAGGCAAAGUGAAAAUGGGUAUUUAUGCAGCACUGGAGGACCUGUGCUGCAUACUGAGCUGCCACUAUGUCUGUCAACACUCUCCUUUCCCAAGCCUUUUUGUCUCCAUGUUAAUUAUGUCUUUCAGCACUUCCUAAAGCUUUAGUGUAUUUUUCUUGUGUUCCUCCUCCAAUCUCCCUCUCGUCCCAUGACUCCCAUCCUGCCUACUUACUGUUCAUCUCUCAGCUGUUUCUGCAACACUGUCACAUGGCUGGGCUGAGUCAGGCAACCUGGGCCUAAGGACAAACCUGAGAGGAAAACUCGUCUUUCCAAACAUCAAAUUUUCUUCAUAAUCAGAAAAUCAGCAGUCCAUACCGAUGAUCCAAAAGGCAUUACAUAAAUAUUAUAUUACACUUUCUUCUUCCUGCUAGCAUCAUCAGAAUUUUUGCUAUAAUUGGUAAGUUUAGGCAAGACUUAAUGACCAGUAUAUUCCUAACAAAGUAUAUGAAGCAUCUCCCUGAAUUUGAGUAAUUUAAGGCAGUUCACACUAUCAAGAUUCACAGCACUAAAUCAAUCUCAUCUCCAUGUGCGAUAUUUUAUGCCUCCAGGUAUCUGUAUUUCUGAAUACAAAAUGCAUUUCUGUAUGCAAACAGAUCAGGUUUAUCUGAACAGCUUGCUGCCCUUUGUCUAUCCAAAAUGUCCUUUUCAGGUGCAAUGAUGCAUUCAGAAGCUCGACUGAGUAGCACUAAAAUUUCGUGAAAAUCUAUUUAGUGUGCAUUCGUAACGGAGCAGAUUUCUCCUCAGAUCCACUACCAACUAUUUGUCAAAUGGCUAUCCUAAGGAAAACAAACUAACAUGAUCCCAGAUCAAGACUUUUUUGCAACCAGAAUGAAUUUCACAUAAACUUUUGCCUGUCACUACUUAAUCACCAUUUAUUCACAGUAACUAUGCAUCGCUAUCUUAUGGUUGCUGUCCUUUCCUACAGAGAUGGGGGGUUCAGGACAUUAGUUCAUCUGUAGAUCCUAAGAAGUUAUCUCUCCCCCAGAAUAUGCAAUGUGUAGAAAAACCCUACGGAGCUGUUCCUCCUUUAGUGUCCACCAGGCUCCCCACAGUAUCCAGGAACAAUUAUGGAAAUAAUCGUUGUUCUAAGCGAAGGACUACACGAUGAUGCGUAAAGUUUAAUAACAAAAGCUUCCCCUGCUCCAUCCGUCUUGCUGUCAGCUAGACUGUGGCAGGAAGCACAAGGGGUUAAUGUCAAAAUACAUCCCCUGAUACCCCGAUUGCCUUUCCCUACCCAUUGUUUCCCAACUUCUUUUGAAUGGUCAGAAAUUUUCCGCUUGAGUAAACCAUCAACAGAGCUGGACCAAAUGGAAAAAUGAGUAGGACAAAAAUGAACCUUGCUGGUAAUACAGAAAGGAGACCUGGUUACAGAGCCACGCAUUUCUAGUGCUAGCAUUUAUUGUGAAAAUAGUGUAAUUAAACAAUGAUUUUUUUUCCCUCUUGCAGCAAAAAAUUGUUUGAGGAUAUCAACAUUUUGUAGAGUGCCAUAAAUCUGGUAAAUCUAGCUAUGGAUAACUCAGUACUCAGAAUGGAAAAGGAAUUAACCCAACUCUUUGGAAAGCUUUAAGAAAAAAGCUUUUCAAAAUAGAGCAUCACCGUGUUUUCCUCACACUGCUCCCAUCAGCUUUCCUUCAGCCUGAUGCUUGAUUUCAGAAGUAGCCUCUCUCACCAAUACAUGAGGGCUUCCCGUUCUUCCCUUCCGUUCUGAUCACACUUAGUAUUCUCAUAUUAGUGUGGGUAGCAAAAAAAAAUACAUUCUCACAAAAAACAAGAGUAGUGCAUUUCAGUUAUGGUUUUCUAUUGAUUCAGUUACACUUGAAUUGAUCUCAAAUUGUUUCAAGCAACUGUUCUGCACCCAAAACACCGCACGAACCACAGAAACCAGAUCAAUAGAUUUCAAGUGAAAUAAUUGUUUUCCUUUGUAAGACCCCAUUACUUCUUGAAUGAAGAACUGUUUGAUUGACCUCCAGGAAAGCAGCAGAUGUGAAUAAGCCAAGCACCUCAGGCCUUAUCAUUUAAAGGGAGGCCUUGAAAAUUACAGGAAAGUACAUGGCCAUGUGCUCGGGUAGCUGUGGGAAAUACACAGCUGGAGAAGCCACAAAGCUGCAUUCUACACGAACAAAAUGAGAGCAGUAGCACGUGGCAGAAGUGGCAGAAAUACACUUUUAGUCACCACAAACACACCAAAAAAAUGUUCUACUAGAUAAGAAAAAUGUUCAAGGAUUCUUGAGUGACUGAUUUUAUUUGCACAGUGUUAGCGUUAGUGAGCUUAUUGUCUGGCACUGAUAAAUGUCAUGUAGCUGUGCCCCUGGGCUCACGUCUGUCCCAGUGUGUUCCACAACUGUAGUGCUCUGUGAGUGCGGCCCUUUCCAGGCUGCCACAUUCAGACACACAAGGUAGAGGCAGUAGCCAAGAAAAUCAGGGUGACCUCAUUGGAUCUACCGGCAGGAUGCAGAUUUAUACCAGGUCACCAAUUCACUGGGGUGCCUAAGUGCUGUCAAACAGAGUAAGACAGACUCUUCUAGAGGCUGAGAGCAGGUUGAUGGGGCUACACUGACCCUAGCACAUGAAAUGCUAAUAGCAUCCCCAGGCCACACCUGCAGCAUCGCACUGGAGCCAUCCAGCUGCAGCCCUGCCUCUGUGUGCUCAGGACCUUCCCUCACCCACCUGCAACUGCACCUUUUGCAGGGAAAGGAGAGCCCAGAGAGCAUCCCCUGUCUACAGCUGUGGGCAAAAACAGGAAGGCUUCAAGAAGCCGUGCAGGAGUGAGACAAAGCAGUGCUGAAGGCAGCGGUGCCUGAGAUUAGGGCUGCGGUGUGGAAUGGAGCAGCUGGCCAGAAGGUUAGGACACCUAGAGAGCAUCACUACUGGAAGGUGAUGCUGCAGUAACAAACAUGACAGGCUGGACCUGUCAAUCUCAGCCCCAAAUACCACACUGUCAUCAUUAUAGAGGUUGAGAUGGCACAUGGCAGCAGCAAAGUUACUGCUUAGGUAAUGCAAAUGUGGGUGUUCCCCCAGCGGGUGGCAAUAUGAUGUUACAGAAAACACAUGUGCAGCUACUCAUAAAUUGCAGUUUUCAUCAGCAGUUCUACUUGUAGAUAAUUCCUGCCCUCAGUUGAUGCUUCCCCCACAAAAAAAGUAGGAAAGCAGAAUACAGUGGUGAUAUUUUGUGGUCCUCAGACAAAUGCUGCUCUCCCUAGUAACAGUCCUCCUGGUAUUGGAAAUCUUUAUUUCUUCUAAUUAUAUUGCAAAUAAAUUAAAUGAUCGCGUUAUACCAUAGUAUGUUUUUGUAGGGAAGUCUUGGUUAGCUCUUAGCACAUAUUAGACCUGAUCUGCGCUUUACUCUUUUAUGAGCACAAUUAACUGCAAACACCUUGUCAUAAACAUUUUAAAAGGUCAACAGAUUGCAACAAUUUUGCUAAAGAGAUAAAUGGUCAAAUAAAACAUUGAAUUGUUAAUUCCCAGGUGACAAAAAGCUGCAUGAGUCAGAUCAAUAAGAAGACACAGAGUGAAUUCUGGGAUAAAGGGCGGGUCAACCUUGAAGCGUUAAUAACUCGCUCCUGUUGUUCUGCUCUGGCACAUCAUGUGUUCUAGCAGGUAAAUGAGCUGCUAAUAGCAAAGUAGUGCCCACAGACUCACAGAAGUAAAAGUGGGCGUCAGAGAUUAUUGAAAUGGGAAAAAUAAAUUAAAAAAAAAAAAAAAAGAAAGAAAGGACUUAGCUCUGUUAACACCAGGAAAAACAAUGAGUUUAUAGCAGACAGGACCGUCAAACCCUCGACCCUGGUCAGUCAGUGCAGAGCUUUCAGUAACAGCAACACGCCAAGAGUUCAUUCUGCUAUUUAUGAGAGGUAUCCUGUACUUCGUAUCAAUCCACUCACUCUACAAACUGACUUCUAGCUACACGAGAGGCUGCAGUAAGAUGGUGCUGUGCUGUACAGUGCUCCUCCAUCCACUCUGCAAAGCCCCCCGGCAGCUGCCAGGAGAGGCCGCAGCUGUACAGAAGCUGAUGUAUAACCACACAAAGGCUGCACUGAAGCCAAGAUAUUUCAUAAUCUCCAUUUUAUUUCUUCGAAGCAAAACACAAGCUGAUUUCUCCAACACUGAAAGGAAAGAAAAUAGCCUCCACCCUGCUAAUGAUCCCUCAGGGGAGGCACCAUCAAGAGGCAACACUUCUUGUAGCAGAGAAAAGCCACGGCUGCUGCUGUCCCAGCAUGCAACAUCAGCCCUGAGAGUUAUCUGCAGCCCACAGACAUCAACUAAUCUCAGCGGGCACCAGAGGAGCAAGCAAGGGUUGAACCCUCAUAGUUCUGGAAGGCUUGAUGAAAGGUUCGUCUCCACAUGAAGCAGAGCAGAAGACUGUGCAAAUAGAAGUGAAGAGGAUCAACGUAGCACUUGGAAAAUAAUUGUUUCAAUUGUGGAAAAUAAUCUAAGACAAAGCCAUCAGUUUUAACAGUUCCAUACAACAGAAAGUUCGAGUAUCAUCAUAUCCCAGUCUCAGAGAUGAUCUCUCUUCCCAAAAUGAGCUGAAGCAUAUAUCCAAAUCUAAAAUUCUUUAAUACAUUGACAAUUUUUGGAACAAGCUCUGGAUAUACAGCCCGGGGAGCUCUUCUGUACAUUGCAUGAUAUGAGAAUUGUGAA
rnacentral:lncRNA from 1 species